GACGAACGCUGGCGGCGUGCCUAAUACAUGCAAGUAGAACGCAGUUGCGAACGGGUGAGUAACGCGUAGGUGACUGCCUCAAAGCGGGGGAUAACUAUUGGAAACGAUAGCUAAUACCGCAUACUGUGAGAUGGACAUGCGUUGUAUUAGCUAGUUGGUGGGGUAAAGGCUCACCAAGGCGACGAUACAUAGCCCACCUGAGAUGGUGCUCUGCCACGCUGGUACUGAGCCACUGCCCAGACUCCUACGGUACGCAGCUGUAGUGAAUCUUCAGCAAUCGAUGGAAGUCUGACCACGCAACGCCGAGUGUGUGAAUAAGAUUUUCGGAUCGUAAAUCUAUGUUGUUAAAUAGACAGUAACUAAGCAGAAAGGGACGGCUUACUACGUGCCAGCGGGCGCGGAAAUAC
rnacentral:rRNA from 1 species